rnacentral:rRNA from 1 species
GACGAACGCUGGCGGCGUGCUUAACACAUGCAAGUCGAGCGGUAAGGCCCUUUCGGGGGUACACGAGCGGCGAACGGGUGAGUAACACGUGGGUGACCUGCCCUCAGCUCUGGGAUAAGCCUGGGAAACUGGGUCUAAUACCCGGAUAUGACUCCAUGACGCAUGUUGUGGGGUGGAAAGCCUUGUGCGGCUGAGGAUGGGCCCGCGGCCUAUCAGCUUGUUGGUGGGGUGANGGCCUACCAAGGCGACGACGGGUAGCCGGCCUGAGAGGGCGACCGGCCACACUGGGACUGAGACACGGCCCAGACUCCUACGGGAGGCAGCAGUGGGGAAUCUUGCGCAAUGGGCGAAAGCCUGACGCAGCGACGCCGCGUGAGGGAUGACGGCCU